rnacentral:rRNA from 1 species
UACGUAGGGUGCGAGCGUUAAUCGGAAUUACUGGGCGUAAAGCGUGCGUAGGCGGUUCGUUAAGUUCGUUGUGAAAGCCCCGGGCUCAACCUGGGAAUGGCAAUGGAAACUGGCGGGCUGGAGUAUGGCAGAGGGGGGUGGAAUUCCGCGCGUAGCAGUGAAAUGCGUAGAGAUGCGGAGGAACACCGAUGGCGAAGGCAGCCCCCUGGGCCAAUACUGACGCUCAGGCACGAAAGCGUGGGGAGCAAACAGG